GACGAACGCUGGCGGCGUGCCUAAUACAUGCAAGUAGAACGCACAGUUUAUACCGUAGCUUGCUACACCAUAGACUGUGAGUUGCGAACGGGUGAGUAACGCGUAGGUAACCUGCCUGGUAGCGGAGGAUAACUAUUGGAAACGAUAGCUAAUACCGCAUAAUAUUCAUUAUUGCAUGAUAAUUGAUUGAAAGAUGCAACUGCAUCACUACCAGAUGGACCUGCGUUGUAUUAGCUAGUAGGUGAGGUAACGGCUCACCUAGGCGAAGAUACAUAGCCGACCUGAGGGGGGGAUCGGCCAACCCUGGAACGGGACACGGCCCAGAACUCUUAGGGAGGGAAGCGGAGGGAAUCUUUGGCAAUGGAGGAAAGGCUGACCGGGCAACGCCGGGGGAGUGAAUAAGGUUUUCGGAUCGGAAAGCUCUGUUGUAAGGGGAGAACGGGUGUGAGAGUGGAAAGUUCACACUGUGACGGUACCUAACCAGAAAGGGACGGCUAACUACGUG
rnacentral:rRNA from 1 species